rnacentral:lncRNA from 1 species
ACACCUAAAAAUAGCAACAAGAAUACCCAUGAUUACUUAAACUUUUCGAAACCAACCGAACCACCUCUUGGCCGUAACUCGAAAACACAACUGAAAUUACUCUCCAAUGAUUCAAAAAACUUACCUUCUGCAACAGCAACCACAAUAUCUCACUACACCACCACAGUAUCUUGAUUUCCCCGAAAAAACCUACCAAUACAGUUUUCUGAAUUAACUCGAAUACCAAAAAGAAAAAAAAUACCAAAAAAAAAACUCUAAAUUCACCAACACAACCCUUACCUUCAAAAGCGAAUGGUAGA